CUACGGGUGGCUCCAGUGGGGAAUAUUGCACAAUGGGGGAAACCCUGAUGCAGCGACGCCGCGUGAGCGAAGAAGUAUUUCGGUAUGUAAAGCUCUAUCAGCAGGGAAGAAAAUGACGGUACCUGACUAAGAAGCCCCGGCUAACUACGUGCCAGCAGCCGCGGUAAUACGUAGGGGGCAAGCGUUAUCCGGAUUUACUGGGUGUAAAGGGAGCGUAGACGGCGGUGCAAGUCUGAUGUGAAAGGCAGGGGCUCAACUCCUGGACUGCAUUGGAAACUGUACUGCUUGAGUGCCGGAGAGGUAAGCGGAAUUCCUAGUGUAGCGGUGAAAUGCGUAGAUAUUAGGAGGAACACCAGUGGCGAAGGCGGCUUACUGGACGGUAACUGACGUUGAGGCUCGAAGGCGUGGGGAGCAAACAGGAUUAGAUACCCUAGUAGUC
rnacentral:rRNA from 1 species